rnacentral:rRNA from 1 species
AGUGAACGCUGGCGGUAUGCCUAACACAUGCAAGUCGAACGGCAGCACAGUAAGAGCUUGCUCUUACGGGUGGCGAGUGGCGGACGGGUGAGGAAUACAUCGGAAUCUACUUUUUCGUGGGGGAUAACGUAGGGAAACUUACGCUAAUACCGCAUACGACCUACGGGUGAAAGCAGGGGAUCUUCGGACCUUUCGCGAUUGAAUGAGCCGAUGUCGGAUUAGCUAGUUGGCGGGGUAAAGGCCCACCAAGGCGACGAUCCGUAGCUGGUCUGAGAGGAUGAUCAGCCACACUGGAACUGAGACACGGUCCAGACUCCUACGGGAGGCAGCAGUGGGGAAUAUUGGACAAUGGGCGCAAGCCUGAUCCAGCCAUACCGCGUGGGUGAAGAAGGCCUUCGGGUUGUAAAGCCCUUUUGUUGGGAAAGAAAAGCAGCAGGUUAAUACCCCGCUGUUCUGACGGUACCCAAAGAAUAAGCACCGGCUAACUUCGUG